CACGUAGGGUGCAAGCGUUGUCCGGAAUUAUUGGGCGUAAAGGGCUCGUAGGCGGUCCGUCACGUCGGGAGUGAAAACUCGGGGCUCAACCCCGAGCCUGCUUCCGAUACGGGCGGACUAGAGGUAGGUAGGGGAGAACGGAAUUCCUGGUGUAGCGGUGGAAUGCGCAGAUAUCAGGAGGAACACCAAUAGCGAAGGCAGCUCGCUGGGACGUUACUGACACUGAGGCGCGAAAGCGUGGGGAGCGAACAGG
rnacentral:rRNA from 1 species